rnacentral:misc_RNA from 1 species
GAUAGCUGGAGAAUAACCAAGUGCUGUGCAGGGCUACAGAGGAAGGGGAAGAGAUAAUCCCUGUCCAUGAAAAAUAACAAGCUUCAUGGGGCACACAGCCCAGGCUCAAAUGAAUGGCAUAUGUAUGUAAACUGCUUAUGUCUAAAACCAGGCCAUUGGUGAUGAUCGGAGUAGCAUGGGUCAUGCUGCUGUACCGCUCCAUCGACUCCCACACGGAAGACAAGGGCCCCAUCUACAACUACCGUGUGGAGAUCUCCAUCUUCUUCAUCAUCUACAUCAUCAUCAUCGCCUUCUUCAUGAUGAACAUCUUCGUGGGCUUCGUCAUCGUCACCUUUCAGGAGCAGGGGGAGCAGGAGUACAAGAACUGUGAGCUGGACAAGAACCAGCGACAGUGCGUGGAAUACGCCCUCAAGGCCCGGCCCCUGCGGAGGUACAUCCCCAAGAACCAGCACCAGUACAAAGUGUGGUACGUGGUCAACUCCACCUACUUCGAGUACCUGAUGUUCGUCCUCAUCCUGCUCAACACCAUCUGCCUGGCCAUGCAGCACUACGGCCAGAGCUGCCUGUUCAAAAUCGCCAUGAACAUCCUCAACAUGCUCUUCACUGGCCUCUUCACCGUGGAGAUGAUCCUGAAGCUCAUUGCCUUCAAACCCAAGGGUUACUUUAGUGAUCCCUGGAAUGUUUUUGACUUCCUCAUCGUAAUUGGCAGCAUAAUUGACGUCAUUCUCAGUGAGACUAAUAGGUGCGUGGAAUCUUAGUGACACUGAGGUCAUAGCAUUGUCUCAAUGGCAGCCAUUGGAAUUGGGCAGCCGUUUUCUGUAGGGCUAAGACCAGCCUUCCCUGGAGGAGAUCAGAGGUAAUCUGCACCUUUCAAAAUCAGCCUGCCAAGGAGAAUGCAGCCAUGGCUUAUGCCCCCUUCACAAUGCUCUCUGGCCACCUGACCGCAGGAGAGUAUUGUGGAGGACAACUGGGUUGGGUAUUCCAGCCUAGAGAUCUACUGCUCAGCCCCUGAAUUUCUAUAAUUCUUACCCUUGGCUGUGCUUUAAAAAAAUAAUAAUUUUUAAAAAAC